UGUUGCUUUAGUAUAGUAUUCUACAUCCUUGGUGUUUAGUUAUAUUAACUACUUGAAAAAAUGAAUUUGAAAAGCAUAAUUUGUAUUUUAGCCACCAUAUUUUGUAUAAUGAUGUCGGGUGUAACAGCUCCAUAUCCAACAGGUGACCCGAAAGUUGAACGUGACCCGGGUCAACCUCCUAUACCGGAUACCCCACCCUCCGGACCAGUAGGAAUAAUACCACUACCACUACCACCAACACCACCACAAGUACCACAACCACCAACAACAUAAAAGCCACUACAACCAUGACCAAGACUAUAAAUGUGUAAUUCAAUAUGCAUUUGUAUCAUUUGUUUUUCAAAUAACUAUAACAAUUCAAUUUACAAACAAAACUGCAGUAUCCAAGAUCCGUGUCAAAUCCUGAAAAUUCGUAUGCUGACCAAUAUGUGUAUAUUGUAAAAUGUUCAUUAUUGUUUAUCAUAAUUGUGUUUCAACCUUUUUUUCUAAUUACAAUGUAUUUCAAAAAACAUUAUAUUUGUUACCUGUCGUAUAAAUGACAUUAUGUCUAUUACAUAUAAACCUACCUACCAAUAAAAAUAAUA